UACGGGGGGAGCAAGCGUUGUUCGGAUUUACUGGGCGUAAAGGGCGCGUAGGCGGCCACCGCAAGUCGACUGUGAAAUCUCCGGGCUUAACCCGGAAAGGUCAGCCGAUACUGCGGGGCUAGAGUGCAGAAGGGGCAACUGGAAUUCUUGGUGUAGCGGUGAAAUGCGUAGAUAUCAGGAGGAACACCGAUGGCGAAGGCAGGUCUCUGGGCAUUAACUGACGCUGAGGAGCGAAAGCAUGGGGAGCGAACAGG
rnacentral:rRNA from 1 species